GUCUACAGCCAUGCCACCUUGAACAAGGGUGUCUGAUCUUGGAAGCUAAGCAGGAUCGGGCCUGGUUAGUACUUAGAUGGGAGAUCACCUAGGAAGACCAGGUGCUGUAAGCA
rnacentral:rRNA from 1 species